CAAGGCUACCAGACUCGGACCUUAGUUUAUAUAAAUAUAACUACCUGUAUUAAAAGUUUCUUUUUGUAUUUUGUAAUGGGUGAGGGAUUCUCCUGGAAACCUUCAUCAUAGUAGAAUCCUGUUCACCAAAGCCCUUGCGAGUCUUCAGGAGCCAACCCACUUGCAAAGAAGAAUUAGACUUAAGCAGUAUCAGUAGACUAUA